CAGGCAUCACCAGAAUGGAAGGUGGCAAGAAAGAAUAUAAAGAGUUGCUGGAUACAAAGUUUGCUACUUGUAUCAUGACGUCAACAGUAUCACUCUUCUUUGCUGGGGCUUGUGAUGCUUCUACGGUGUGCUUUAGCAGUUCUGUCAGCUGACAAUGCUACUGAGCUAUUCUUUCUCGUGCCGCAAUUCCACUACCGUUUUAGAUCAAACGAGUGAUGGCAGGUGAAGUUGAAGUUCAAAUUGAUAUCAAGCUUUACACAAACACAAAGACAAGAACAAUAUAGAUAAGAAGGAACAAUUUUUGUGUUUGUCAUGACUUGGUUAUUACUAUAGUGAAUCCAGUCUUCAGCAGUUCAAUAAUAAAAUGGUGUUCAUAUAUUAUUUAUGUUUGUU